AAUACAUGUUGAUGGGGAAGUGAAUAGAAUACGGUGUAUGCCAUAGAACCCCAAUCUUGUCGGUGCCAAGACUAGCAGUUUUGAGGUGUACUUGUUUGAUUAUAACUAGCAAGUAGAAAAGAACCAAGAUAGUUGUGACCCGGAUCUAUGGUUGCAGGGUCAUGACAAGGAAGGUGAUGGAUGGUCUCGGAGUCCCUUUAAGGAAGGUCAUCUUUGAGUGGUUCUCAUGAUCAUAAGAUAUGCUUGUGGAAUGCGUCCUCUUUUGCUCCAGAUAAGGCCUAUUAAAGUGUGGUAGAAGAUGUUUCUUGACAUUUGAAAAAUGAAAAUCUAUUUGGGUCAGCAGGUGAUGAUUGUCAUUUAAUGAUAUGGGACUUGCAUAGAAAUCAAACCUAGCAGAGCAUAAAAGCUCAUGAGAAAGAGAUUGGGGAUGAGCAGCUAGAGUUAGAUGCUGAAGAUGGUCCUCCUGGGCUACUACUUUCUCAUGGAGAACACAAGGCGAAAAUAUCCGAUUUCUCAUGGAACAAAAAUGAGCCAUGAGUAAUUUCAAGUGUAGCUGAUGACAGUACUGUUCAGGUCUGGCAAAUAACUGAGAUACUUGCAAGCUGCUGAGAACUGGUCAAAUAUCAGGUCCAUGUCUUAGUGGGCAAUCUUUUCAUAUUGUUUAUUUUUUACUGGAUCAAAAUAGUUAUAUCAUUAAAGCAAAGUAUAUCACAACUUGUCACCUGGGUGCUAUCAUUUUCUGUGUUUGCUUUUCCAUUUGGGAGGUAAGUAAAUUAGUGAGCUGAUGAUUUUUUGGCACAAAAGUAGCGAUGAUGAGUUUGUGGGUAGGGCUAUGUUAAAAGCAGUGACAUAUUUUGUGGUAGCCUUUUUGAACUUGUUAAUCCAGGGAACUUCCAUGAUGGUCCCUUAGCAUU